rnacentral:rRNA from 1 species
UGGGGAAUUUUGCACAAUGGGGGAAACCCAGAUGCAGCGACGCCGCGUGAUUUAGAAGGCCUUCGGGUUGUAAAAAUCUUUUUUACGGGAUGAAAAUGACAGUACCGUAAGAAUAAGGUCCGGCUAAAUACGUGCCAGCAGCCGCGGUAAUACGUAUGGACCGAGCGUUGUCCGGAAUCAUUGGGCGUAAAGGGUACGUAGGCGGCCUAGUAAGUUAGAAGUGAAAUAAUAUAGCUCAACUAUAUAAAGCUUUUAAAACUGCUAGGCUUGAGAGAUGGAAGGGAAAGUGGAAUUCCUAGUGUAGCGGUGAAAUGCGCAGAUAUUAGGAAGAAUACCGGUGGCGAAGGCGACUUUCUGGUCAUCAUCUGACGCUGAGGUACGAAAGCGUGGGUAGCAAACAGG